GCCUGACGGAGCAACGCCGCGUGAGGGAGGAAGGCCUGUGGGUUGUAAACCUCUUUUCUCUGGGAAGAAGACCUGACGGUACCAGAGGAAUAAGCAUCGGCUAACUCCGUGCCAGCAGCCGCGGUAAGACGGAGGAUGCAAGCGUUAUCCGGAAUUAUUGGGCGUAAAGCGUCCGCAGGCGGCCAAUUAAGUCUGCUGUUAAAGCCUGGGGCUUAACCCCAGAUCGGCAGUGGAAACUGGUUGGCUAGAGUACGGCAGGGGUAGAGGGAAUUCCCAGUGUAGCGGUGAAAUGCGUAGAUAUUGGGAAGAACACCAGUGGCGAAGGCGCUCUACUGGGCCGAAACUGACGCUGAGGGACGAAAGCUAGGGGAGCGAAAGGGAUUAGAUACC
rnacentral:rRNA from 1 species